UACGGGGGGGGCAAGCGUUGUUCGGAAUUACUGGGCGUAAAGAGCGCGCAGGCGGCUUGGCAAGUCGGGUGUGAAAUCCCGGGGCUCAACCCCGUGACUGCAUCCGAUACUGUCAGGCUAGAGGUAGGUAGGGGAGAUCGGAAUUCCUGGUGUAGCGGUGAAAUGCGCAGAUAUCAGGAGGAACACCAAUGGCGAAGGCAGCUCGCUGGAACGGUACUGACGCUGAGGCGCGAAAGCGUGGGGAGCGAACAGG
rnacentral:rRNA from 1 species